rnacentral:lncRNA from 10 species
CAAGUGCAGGCCAUAGGAGAAAGCAGUGAAAAAGAAACACUGUGACAAGCAAGGAAGAAACUUCAGACCAAGUUGACAGGCAGCCCUUCAGUUUACUGACUGCCGCUUCUUACCUGCCAACGCCAAGCACAAAGCUGCCUGCAGAGCCAGCCUCUAUCUGUGGUCCUUGUGCCAAUUAUCACUGCCCCACUCAUGCCGCAGGAUAUAAAGCAGAGUGACAGGGUCACAGGACUGCCAGAGGAAUACAGCUUCUAGAGGCUACCCACAUUCCUGGGCUAAUGGCCCCUUCCUACAUCUUCAAAGCCAGCAGUGGUGGGCUGAGUCUUUCUCCUGGUAUCAUCUCUUCAUUCUCUAUCUCCCUCUCCCAAUUUUAAGGACCUCUGUGAUUAUAUUGGGCACCUGGAUAUUGCAGGAUACGCUCUCUAUUUUAAGGCUAUGCUCCGUAAAGAGAGUGCCUCCUCUAGAAUCACAAGACCUAAGCAUGAAUCUUCCUUUGAAGGAUAAAAUGGAAGGAAAAAAACUGGAUGAGGAAAAGAAGAGUGGGGAAUAGAAAGAGAGAGAGAGAGAAAGAUGGAUAAAUUUUUAAAGUUACUAUAAUAAAAAUCUUCUAC